CAGCUAGUUGGCAGGGUAAAAGCCUACCAAGGCAGAGAUCGGUAGCCGGCCUGAGAGGGCACACGGCCACACUGGCACUGAAACACGGGCCAGACUCCUACGGGAGGCAGCAGUGGGGAAUCUUGCACAAUGGGGGCAACCCUGAUGCAGCGACGCCGCGUGGGGGAUGAAGCUUCUCGGAGUGUAAACCCCUUUCGACCCGGACGAAUGCCUCGCAAGAGGACUGACGGUACGGGUAUAAGAAGCCCCGGCUAACUACGUGCCAGCAGCCGCGGUAAGACGUAGGGGGCCAGCGUUGCUCGGAAUUACUGGGUGUAAAGGGUUCGUAGGCGGUGUGGCAAGUCGGGAGUGAAAUCUCUGGGCUCAACCCAGAGUCUGCUUCCGAAACUGCUGUGCUUGAGUGUGGGAGAGGCGCGUGGAAUUGCAGGUGUAGCGGUGAAAUGCGUAGAUAUCUGCAGGAACACCCGUGGCGAAAGCGGCGCGCUGGACCACUACUGACGCUGAGGAACGAAAGCUAGGGGAGCAAACAGGAUUAGAUACCCUGGUAGUCCUAGCCCUUA
rnacentral:rRNA from 1 species